CAUGACUCUCCUCUCUGAGACAGCCACAGGUUAGAAUCCUCCCGGUCCAAAGCUAGAGAGCCAACGGCCAUACAUGGAAGAGAGGAAAGGAAAUCUUUGCAAAACAUCUUCUCAAGGCAGAGAAAGCUGUCUUGCUCCAGCUGACGGAUCCCAGGCACUUGUCACAAGCCGCAGACUUCUGGACAUGCACCAGUAAUCUGGUCUAUGACCAGAUGCAUACUGUCAUCAGCUCCUUUGACAAGCCCAAGAAUGAUGAAAAAAAGACAAAACAACAACAAAAACUCACCACACUUAGAACUGAUUGAAUUUUAAUUCAUUUGUCACAAGACAAGGUCUGCUGUGACUAUGAUGCACCAGGACAGGAGCGAGACUGUUGGUGACCAGAGCCGAACACAAACUGUGAACAUCAUCUAAGUCACAAAACACCAAGCAGCUCGUCUUCUUCAUGCAUUGGAGCUUCAGUUGUCCCAGCGUGCCUGUCCUCUACAUGAUAGCUGCAGAGACUUGGGCAGAAACAAACCUCAGUCCUGUAAGUCUUCCGGAAGACCCGAGGAGGCCUUUAAAAAGUGCAUCCCACUCCUGUACCACGAAAUGCGCCUGGCUUACAACACUAUGGGUGUCCUCUUUGGGACACUCCUUCACAGUUCACAUUUGUGAGCACCUUAAUGUGUUAGGUACCAGAUGGAUGCUCAUGUACAGGAAUUCACUGGAUCUCGGUAGCAGUCCUGUGGGAAAAUACAACUGGCCCCUAAUCUCCAGAAGCUGGCAGACUGAAAUCUCAUCUGUUUGCACAAAGUGGAGCCAGGAUUUGAGCCCUGGCAAUCUAGCUCCACAGCCUGACUUUUUAACCACCAUGUUUUCGACACCCCUGAGAUGUGCUCCUGUUUCCUCUCCACCACUGGCCUUCAUUUUCAGAAUCCAUUUCAGAGGUGACGCGCAGGCUAAGGAGCUGUCUUUGAGACGUUGUUAUCAAGGACCAAGAGCUCCGUGGGAGGUCAAAUGGUUUAGGGGUUGACUAACUGGCAACGUAGCGAGGGCAUGGAGUCCCUUCUGCAGGCUUCACUGGCCUUUAUGAGCUGCCAUGUGCUGUGGCCUCUCCUGCUGAGGUUCCUUGGUUCCUGCUCACCUCCGCUGCAGGAACACUUCCUUGGGAAUCGGUGUGGAGAGUCCUGGGCCCUCCCUUCUCAUACACACCCGGGCUGUCCUUAUCUGCCUGACACCUGCAGCCAAGAUUGGGCUUUGACAGAGCCCUGUCACCUCACUAAACACUGGCUGGCUGCUGUUCCCACUAGUCCUGUACAAACAGGUUCUUUGCAUAAGGGCCACCAGCAGGCUUAUCCAUGGCCUGGGCACUGUGCCAACAUGUGGGUUAUCAGGUUGGCACACCUCGUCCUUUCUCUGGAGAUACUGGGUCAGAUGCUAACUUAGGGCUCCAGGGCCUCAGGACAGCAGGGCUUGUGCCCCAUUCCCAGAAUACUUUCCUCCAUCUUCUCUAAAUGAGCAGGCAAUAUUUAGAUGUCCUUAAAGCAAGUUAACUCAUCUUAGCUAUCCAGCUAGUCAACAGGGAAUAGGACUUCUAGUUUCCCGUGGGAGCCUCUUUGGUUGGUACCCCUAAAGUAGGCAGAUUUUCUUCCACAACAUUGGGUCAUCAUCUUCUUCAAUAACUGCACUGUGAGCUCUUUUAGGGCUGAAGCAGGCUUUAUAGUUAGUUCCUCAUACCCGGUACAGUGUCUGGAUGUAGGAACAUUCAGAAGUUAUUUUCCCACCAAGAAAGCUCGUAGGACUUCCUCUUGAUCACAUUACUUUGUUAAACAGGACAAAUCUCUGAUAAGGCUAGAGGAGGCUUGCUGGCUUGUCCCAGCUCUGGAAUAAACCAGCAAGGCAGCCUGCACUGCUCUCUGUCUGAAGGAAGGACAAGGCUGGAUCAGAAAGGGUCUGUGGUGUCUUCCAGGGGACCCCCAGGUUAGAUGCCAUUGAGAGAAGGGACAUUGUGGGAUGAGUCAUCUGGAUUGUAGGGCUAAGUGUGAAGACAUAGAGAAUCACAUUGUCAGGGUCUGCCAGCUCCAGGGACUGAGAAGAAAGUGGGGGUUGGGGGGGAUGAUGGUUUCCUAGAGCCUCCAGGAAGGUGGGGCUAGAACUGGUGGCCCUACCUUAAACCACAGCGUGUACUUUUGUACCAAGGCCCUGCUGCUCCUAGGAUGCCAGCUGAGCGACCCUGAGAGCUCUCCAGACCUCUCCCUCAAUUAAACCAGGCAAUCCUACUAAUGAAACACAGCACAGAAGGCCCCCUUCAGACUGCACAUUCAGGAAGCAUCCUUCUUGUGGGACUUUCAUGGGAAAAAGAAACCCGUAACUCUUUGAUCCCAAUUGCCAACAAGGAAUUUUUCUUAAUAUCUUUGAAAUCUUGGAGAAACAACAAGAGGCACCUGAACCUUGAAACCCUGUCUUGUUUGAUGUUAUUAUCCUCCAACAGGAUAAAUAUUAUCCUCUGGGCUAAACUUCUUUGUUCUGGGAAGAUACUACACUUGAUAUUUGGCUCUUAAAGGAAAAAGCAAGUGCUCUCACAGGCAGAAAUUCAAACCCUAGGGUCUUGUGGCAUGCAUGCUCACCAAACAGCUGGCUCUUCUCACGGGCAGUACUGCACAUGCUUUCAAGAGGAAAGUGCUUCAUCUCUAAGGAAAGUUUAGUCUGCAAAGUAGAAAACUGUGAUUGUUUCUACCAGAGAGGAAACUGUGCUGGGCCGUGUCCCAUGAGAGGAGAAAGUGGGGGGCACUUUGGAAUAUAGAGACAGGAUUCCAGGCAAGGAUGACAGGAGAAUGGGGUGACUACAGACUAUUUUCUCCCACUUUCUAGUGUUGAGAUCGCAGACCCUAGAUCUGUUAGGGUGGGCUGUGAGCUGAAUGGGGCAGAGCCCAGAGGUAGUUACACAAAGAGAAGUUUGGCUCCCAAACUUCCCAGUUCCUCAUUUCCAGAGCCAGUUUUAAGUGUGAGAGCUGCAAUUCCCGCUUUUGAUUUCCAGAUCUUUGUUAAACCCUUGUCACUCAUGAGAGCUUGGGUUUAGCUAUGCUGUUGGAAGAACUAUAGACCUGGCUGAUUACAGCACAGUACACAAGGCAGGGUACUGGUGGUAAAGCGAGCAGAAUCUGAGUAGGAGCAGCGGGUAAAGGGGUUGGUGUGAAAGCUGAAGGUUCAGGUGGGGGUAUAGGUAUAAUAUAUAUAUAUAUAUAUAUAUAUAUAUAUAUAUAUAUAUAUAAAAUAACGUUUUUUUUUUUAAGCCAGUCUGGGGUUGCAGAUUAAAAAGGAAGCAGGCAAUGGGAUAAUCCUGUAUGCAGAUGUAUGAGAGGAGGUGAGACCUCCAAAGACAGAGGCUCGGAGCUACUUUAGUAAUGCUAGUGGGGACACUGAGUUUGCGGACAAGUGGGUUAUGGCUAGUACAAUAAUGUGUCUUUUGUACACAGCACACAAGAACAAAGGUUUGUGGAGCUCUCGUCUUUGGUGGGAAGAAGAGAAUUUGUAAAGUGUUCCAUAAAUUAAAAAAGGAAAAAGAAAAGUUCCAGGACAGGUUUCACAUUUACACAAAGAAAUCGUGUCUCAAACAAAACAAACAAACAAAAACAUGCAUCUCAUUUUCCAUUAUAUGUGUUGCCCAAAUCAGUUGACGUACUGGUUUUUCCAGUGAGCAUUAAGUAGGCUUUAUAGAGCAAAAAUUGGGGAUCGGGAGCCAUUGUUAAGCGUGACUAAGAGUGAAGAUGGAUGCUACAAACACAUUCCUUAAGGUGCCUAUUCAACCUUCCUAAACGUUAGUUUUUUUUUUUUUUAUCAAGACUAUACCCACCAGACAGCUCUCUUGAGGAUUUACUACAGCCAGACCAUUAAAAGCCAUUUCUAGGAAUGAG